rnacentral:rRNA from 1 species
AGAAUCAACGCUGGCGGCGUGCCUAACACAUGCAAGUCGAACGAGAAAGUGGAGCAAUCCAUGAGUAAAGUGGCGACCGGGUGAGUAACACGUGACUAACCUACCUUCGAGUGGGGGAUAACCUCGGGAAACCGAGGCUAAUACCGCAUAACAUCGCAAGAUCAAAGCAGCAAUGCGCUGGAAGAGGGGGUCGCGGCUGAUUAGCUAGUUGGCGGGUAACGCCCACCAAGGCGAAGAUCGGUAGCCGGCCUGAGAGGGCGCACGGCCACACUGGAACUGAAACACGGUCCAGACUCCUACGGGAGGCAGCAGUGGGGAAUUUUGCGCAAUGGGGGAAACCCUGACGCAGCAACGCCGCGUGGAGGAUGAAGCCCCUUGGGGCGUAAACUCCUUUCGACCAAGACGAUAAUGACGGUACUGGUGGAAGAAGCACCGGCUAACUCUGCGCCAGCAGCCGC